UUGUUUUAUAUUAGUAUUCAGAUGUUACAAAAUCAUUUAUCUCUGCAGAAGGUAAACUGAGAAUAGGAACUGUAUCUGCCGUUUGUUGCAAACAUUUUAGGUAAAAUCUGUGACAUAGUGAAUUCCUUACUUUUGAAUGCGAGAAAUACGAUGACUUCCAGUUUCUUCAUUUUGUUUUAAAAUGUCCUCCCCUUAAAGCGCACACAACACAUGCUAAGGUUACAAGCCUUCCCGUAACAAUAUCCGGGGAUGACGCUGAAAGUAUAUGUUGGUGUCUUAGACCUAGUCGGUCCUCAGAAAAUAGUGGUGUGAAUCACACAAAUACAUCAUUUCGACGAGAUUUUUUUGUUUUUGCUAAAAAAUCUAAGGUCUCAUUCAGUUAUGUUUCAUAAAUAUUCUACUUCGAUGUCCUUCUCCCUUAAAUAAAACUCAAAGCUCAUACGGACUCGUUUUUUCACUUUCAGCUACUGUUAUUUGGAUGCUAGCGAGUAUGUGGCUCUAACAGCUUUUUAAAAAGAACUUCGGAUUUUGACAGAAGAGCGCCCUCUGCUGCCGAAUAGUUUAUGGGCAACGCUCCUGAGAAGUGAAACAUUUGGGGGUAUGCCCAUCGCAAAGCUGGCAAGGUGAACUUUAAGAGCUGCUCAUCUUGAGGAGGAAAGAGCUACAUAUUCAGAGGUUGGCUGCUGGUACAGCUUUGAGUCACUAGGAGCCACAGCCGGCUCUUGAUCCGAGAUGAAAAUUCUAGAUGAUGCAAAUCUUCCUCCACCUACGCACUGCUAAAGAAAAUCUGAUGGUGGCUGGUGCUUUGCUUCAGAUGCUGCUGCCCAGACCUGAAAGAAAAUAGUUUGUUAAUAACAAUUGCCAUUGGAGUUCAACAUAGUUUUAUAAAUGUCAGAGGGUUAUUGCAACACAUCUUUCUAAACAGGUGAGGUUUUUAAAGUAUAAUGACUGUAUAAUAUGUAAUGUCAAGCUGUGCAACUGAACAGCUACUGUAUGUGGUUUAAAGUAAAGCCCAAGAAAGAGGGGGGAGCUCUCCAGUGUCGCCUAAGCAAACCCUCUCUUUGUUUUUUCUUUAAAGAUUACGUUUGCUUAGUUUUAGGAACUUAGGUAUUUUAUUUUGACAGUUAAAUCAUAAAAGCACAAAGUAUUGUAUGCCAAAUUGAAGAAAGCUAUGGAAAUUUAAUUAUGGGUAUUAAUUUAUAUCCAGAGAUGGACAAAGUGGCACAAUUAACCAACAACAACCAAAAAAUCACAUUUAACAGAGAGAUCAAAGGAUGAAGAAACCACUGGUGCUAAGCCAUGGUCUGACUGGGUAAAUGAGUUUUUCCUGAACAA